rnacentral:rRNA from 1 species
AGCCUGAUCCAGCCAUGCCGCGUGUGUGAAGAAGGUCUUCGGAUUGUAAAGCACUUUAAGGGGGGGGAAGGGCAGUAAGCGAAUACCUUGCUGUUUUGAGAAACCGACAGAAUAAGCACCGGCUAACUCUGUGCCAGCAGCCGCGGUAAUACAGAGGGUGCAAGCGUUAAUCGGAAUUACUGGGCGUAAAGCGCGCGUAGGUGGUUCGUUAAGUUGGAUGUGAAAUCCCCGGGCUCAACCUGGGAACUGCAUCCAAAACUGGCGAGCUAGAGUAGGGCAGAGGGUGGUGGAAUUUCCUGUGUAGCGGUGAAAUGCGUAGAUAUAGGAAGGAACACCAGUGGCGAAGGCGACCACCUGGGCUCAUACUGACACUGAGGUGCGAAAGCGUGGGGAGCAAACAGGAUUAGCCACCCUGUUUAGUCCACGCCGUAAACGAUGUCAACUAGCCGUUGGAAUCCUUGAGAUUUUAGUGGCGCAGCUAACGCAUUAAGUUGACCGCCUGGGGAGUACGGCCGCAAGGUUAAAACUCAAAGGAAUU